UACGUAGGGUGCGAGCGUUGUCCGGAAUUAUUGGGCGUAAAGAGCUCGUAGGCGGUUUGUCGCGUCUGCUGUGAAAACUCGGGGCUUAACCCCGGGCCUGCAGUGGGUACGGGCAGACUAGAGUGCGUAGGGGAGACUGGAAUUCCUGGUGUAGCGGUGAAAUGCGCAGAUAUCAGGAGGAACACCGGUGGCGAAGGCGGGUCUCUGGGCCGUAACUGACGCUGAGGAGCGAAAGCGUGGGGAGCGAACAGG
rnacentral:rRNA from 1 species